rnacentral:tRNA from 1 species
AGUUAAUGAACUUGAAUAAGUAUAUGUUUUGAAAACAUAUUAUAGAAAUAAUAUUUUCUAUUAACUU